CACGUAGGGUGCGAGCGUUGUCCGGAAUUAUUGGGCGUAAAGAGCUCGUAGGCGGUGUGUCGCGUCGGCCGUGAAAAACCUGCAGCUUAACUGUGGGCUUGCGGUCGAUACGGGCAUCACUGGAGUUCGGCAGGGGAGACUGGAAUUCCUGGUGUAGCGGUGAAAUGCGCAGAUAUCAGGAGGAACACCGGUGGCGAAGGCAGCUUGCUGGGACGUUAACUGACGGCUAAGGCGCGAAAGCGUGGGGAGCGAACAGG
rnacentral:rRNA from 1 species